AGCAGCCGCGGUAAUUCCAGCCCCAAUAGCGUAUAUUAAAGUUGUUGCAGUUAAAAAGCUCGUAGUUGAAUUUCGGGGUCUGUCCGUCGGUCGGGCUUCACGGUCCGUACUGGUGUGAUGGGUUCCUACCUUCUGAAUAACCGGCAUGCCAUUCAGUUGGUGCGCCGGGGAAGCAGAGCUAUUACCUUGAAAAAAUUAGAGUGCUUAAAGCAGGCUAAGUGCUUGAAUAGAUCAGCAUGGAAUAAUAAAAUAGGACGGCAUGGUUCUAUUUUGUUGGUUUCUAGGAUCACCGUAAUGAUUAAUAGGGAUAGUUGGGGGGCAUUAGUAUUCAAUUGUCAGAGGGUGAAAUUCUUGGAUUUAUUGAAGACUAACUUCUGCGAAAGCAUUUGCCAAGGAUGUUUUCAUUAAUCAAGAACGAAAGUUAGGGGAUCGAAGACG
rnacentral:rRNA from 1 species